rnacentral:lncRNA from 1 species
CCAACUUCUGUAUUAAAAGUUCACAUUUUACAAUCUAUACUAUUAAAGCAGAAUACCUACUAGGAUUCUGCCCUUACCUUUUCAAGUUAUUUACAAGUCUCUGCCAUUGCCUUUUUUCCUUUUAAAAAAUUAAAUGUCGACAGUUAUUUUAAACAAAUCUCAAGCCUUCGAUUUUUAAAACAUAUUCAAAUCGUUUUUAAGCCCAUUUACGAUUAAAUCUAGGCUUUUUUAAAGAAAAUCCAAACAUGAAUGAAUGUUCAGUCCAUCAAAACUAUCUUCAUGAUGAAACACCCUAUACCAUUGAAACCCCACCGACAUCAUCUUCUUUUUACUGGCAAACCCUAUGCCCUGAAAUGAAAACACUAACCAAGAUGAAUCAAUGUUCAUAAUAAUAAUAAGCUUAUUUAAAUUAUAUUUACAUACAACAUGAAACCUACAUAUAUGUUGUCUCCUUUCCAAAAUGCAAUAUAUAAUGGUCGACACUUUAAUCAAACAAAAUAAUUAAAAUAUAUUUGACCACAACUUAGUAUGGUAUGUUUCAAAAAAUUUAUAACAAUAUUUAUUUACAAAUAUAAUUAUUUUUCAACUAAUCCCCUAAUUUUCAUAAUCAAUUAAAAGCAGAAAAUUAAAUUAGAAUGCCAAAUCCAUUCCAAGUAUAUUCUUUAGCUCAUUCCAUGAUUUCCUCUUCCUAAAAUCACGCUUUAAAGAAUUACAUAUACUCAUAUUGCUUGUGCAAUACCCACAGAAUAUCUUUGGAUUUCGAAUUAGGGGACUGAACCUUCCUAAUAUUUACAAUUAUUCAUAUCGAAAUCAAAACCAUAAAAUCUUGAGAGAUACGAUCUAGAGUAUGCAUCAAAUAUAGAAAACGAAUAUAUGCUUAAGCUACAUUCACGGUUUAAAAAAAACAAGCAGAGAUCGUAUUACUAUAUAAUACUCACAUAAUAUCUUUGGUUUCAAAUUGGUAACUGAAUUUACUACUAUUAAAUACUACUAGAAAAUCUUGCCAAUAUUUAGAGUAUUCACCAAGUUUUCCUCAAAACCUAAACAACUCUCCCCAUCGCCACUUCCUUAUAUAAAUAACGACGCUUCUUCCUAAACAAACUCAUACCAUCAAACAAACAAAUGGCUUCUAAAAAGCAAAUCAAAACAUCUAUUGUUUCUAAUGAACAAGCCAUCCCCAUCAACAACUUGAAGCCAGUGCACACCGCUAAGAUGGUUCAUGCGAAGGUUCUACAUUCUUGGAAACAAAACAUUCAACUAGGGGGGGAAACCAUGGAAUUCGUUUUGGCUGAUGAGAAUGUAAGCAAUCCUAAAUUAUUCCCUUAACGUUUUUAUUAGAAUGUUAUUAUUCUAAAUGAUGUUAAUAUUCUAAAUGUAUUUGGAACAUGUACAAGGGGCAUAAAAUUCAUGCAACCUGCAAAAAAACUUACAUUGAGAGUAAAGGAAGCCUUCUUCCGGUUGGAGCAUGGCGCUACAUCCGAAACUUCCAUGUUAGGCCUGCAGGAGGAGCUUAUCGCACAACAAACCAUGCCUACAAGAUUGUUUUUAAUCCAAAUACAAAUGUUACUCGGUCAAAUUUCAUGAAUGACGAGUUGUAUCUUAAUUUGGUCGAUUUCCAGUUAAUUUUAUCUGGCACACUUGAUGACAAGCUCUUAAUUGGUAAAUAUAUAAGCUAUAGAUUUCUAAAAUAUUUUUUUGUGCUUGCUAUUACUAAUAUCUUUUGCAAUGUUUUUUAAAACAGAUGAGCUUGGCCAAGUGUUGGAUUGUGGUGAUGUCGAAACCAUUCAGUGUUCUGGGGGUAACCAGCGUAAAAAACUGGAAUUCAUCCUAAGAGACAUCAAGUAAGUUUGCUGUCACAUGAAAAACUAUUCAAGACAUUAUUUUGGUCGAAUAUUGUUACAACUAACCUCGCUUUUUGACUGGCGCCACCCCAUAGUGAUUCAAGAAUACCAUGCUGCAUUUGGGGAAACUUAACCGAUAUUCUCCAUUCUGCCUGCAACCAAGACGAUGGAAUGGUUACAUUGCUUUUGAGGUUUGCUAAACUUGGAAAGUUUAGAGGUACAUAUUUAGCGUAAACAAAAUAUAUAUAUUCUAAAUAAGACUAUCUUACAUAUACACUGCUGGAUUAUUAAAAUGACAGGAGAACUACAAAUCUCUAAUUCCUUUGAUGCCUCUCGAAUGAUCAUUAACCCGGCAAUACCAGAGGCUGAAGCAUUUAAAGAUAUGUAAGGCCAUAAUCCAUUGCUUAUUUUACAGUAGUUAUUUGCCUAUCAUACUGAUUAUUUGGGAAAAUUUUCAUGGUUAUCAGCGACAAUGGGGAUGACACAACUCUAAUUACAUUUGAAAGUAAUGAGGAGAGUCAAGAGGACAACAACAAGCAAGUAAAUCAUCCAGGCAAGCGAGGACAGCGUGAUAAGUGGUUGAUAUUCCCCACUAAGACCAUCCAAGAAAUGGUAGCGUCAACUCAAGUAAGCAUUUUAAGUCCUUUAUCUUACAUUGUGUAUCUCGUGUGGGUGGUUAACUAUUUUUUUUUUGAUUUUGUUUAGGUUGAUAAAUGUUUAGUCACUUGCAUAGUCUAUGCAAUUGAUAUGGAUUGGUCCUGGUAUUACUUUGGUUGUGAUGCAUGCCAAAAAAGGGUGAUCAAAACCGGAACCAACAUUAAGAUAGUAAAAGGAACUGAAAUAACCACUCAUAUUUGGUGGUGUGAGACAUGCAACGACACUGUGUUCAAAGUUUCACCAAGGUAUGAUUGUGCAAAUUUAAGAAAAAACAUGCAUACGUAACAACUUAGAGUGAUGUUUAGCAGUUAAAACUGUAACUUAUGGCUGUCUAAUCUAUAGGUUUUGGCUUCACUUGAUGGUCAAAGAUGAUACCGGUGUGUCAAAAAUAAUGAUUCUGGACAAGGUGGCUAAUGGGAUUGUUCCUGAAUCUCCUCUCAAAUUGUUGAAUGGAAGCUGGGAUGAGGUAUUUUUUAAGCAAAUAUGGCAAUUAAUUUGCGUCAUCUUACUGACAAUAGAACACUAAAUCUAUGCAAUCUAUUUGGCAGCUUGAAGACCCAAGCUUAAUACCAGAUGCUAUUACUGAUUUGAUUGGAAAAAGUUUCACAUUUGGAGUCUAUGUUGAGAAGGAUAAUGUAUCUUAUGGUGCUGAGAUAUUCAAAGUUGGAAAAGUCUACAAAGACAGAAUGAUUUGCUUAACUGGUGGAAUCACAUCCAGUCACUCUGAAAAGCCGUUGACAAUUACAAGUGGUGAUGAGGUACCAUUGUCUAAUCUAUGGUUAUAUUAAGUUUUUUUUUUUGAGAUUUUCUGUCUUAACAUGACUAUCAAUGUAAUUUUUUACAGGGUUCAGUUUAUUUCACUGAUAGUCAAGAACUUAACGACUCCGUGACCACACCAUCCAGUAAGAGAAAAGAAGAUGAUUCUAUUUCUCUGCCUGACAUCAGUUCAACAUCAAAGAAACCAUGCUUAAUGACAGUAAAAAUUGAGAAGGCGGAAGAAGCUGCUAAGAAACUUGGCUAAUUUGGAAGCAGACUGCUUUGAUGUUUUCCAGUAUUUUGGUUUUUGUUUUUCCUAUUUACGUUGUUGGGUUUUUGCUUCUUUCGAAACUUAUGUUUGAUUUGUGUUUUUUUCAAUAAGUCUAUUUAGACUAAUGCAUUGUUAAGUUUUCUUUGAUUUCUGUUUUUUUCCUAUCAAAACAAAAUAAUCUGCUUAAUUGAUAGUUCGUUUCUUAUAAGCAAGUCCUGGAAACAAAAUAAUCUAUUUACUUAACGUAUAGAUUAUUUACUACUGACGCAGUGUCCACACCAUCCAGUAAGAGAAAAGAAGACAAGAAUAUUUCUCUCCCUGACAUCAAUUCAACAUCCAAUGCACAAUGACAAUCAAAAUUAACAAGGUGGAAGAGGAAAAUAAGAAACGUUAAAGUUGGAAGAAGACAUCUCGUGUCGUUUUGAGCUUUUAAAAUUUAUGUUAUUCUAUUUAUUAAGACUUCAUUAUACAAUCAAAUGUUUUGACCCUAUUCUUUUAAGACUAAUCAAAUGUAACUAUAGCAAGUGUAAUAUUUUGAACAUAUUCUUUUAAGACUAAUCAAAUGUUUUAUUAGAUACUGCAAGAUUUAGUUGUCGUUUGAAUGUAUAUUCUGACCAUAUACUUUAAGACUACUCAACAAUUUGAUUAGAUACCAAUAUAUUUAGUUGUCGUUUUUGUUCCUAUAUUUUCUGGCAAAAUCUAGAUUUAAAAACCUACACAAAAAACUGAUGAACGCGAUUGCUAAUUACGUUUAGAAUUUCAAUGACACAGAAAAACGAAGAGGUCCCUCCAGGAUCACAUGAUUUGAUAUCAUCCCAACAGAGAAAAAGAAAGAGAAGAGCAGACAACAAUGAAUCCGAGAAUACACAGCCGUGUGGUGAAGCUUCGAACAACAUUUCAACUUCUGUGCCUCUUAGGAAAGCUUUUACGAGGGUUCUAAAUGAUAUCUCCAAUAUUCCUACUAAUUUGCGAUUCUCGACAGUUUCUAUUGGGACAAACCCUACUAAUGGUUUAGACCUUCCACAAAACAUCAAAUGUUUUAGAUAAAUUUUGAAGCUUAACCUCACUACUGCAAAAUUAUGUUUUUUUUUUCAGAUAGUGGAAAUGUAAAGGAUCAGAAAGCUUUAGCAAAAAGAUUAAAGAGCAAUUCAUAUAAGUUUAUGUGUAAGUGUACUUAACUCCAGAACAUUUUCUUAGUUGUUUGUAAUAGUUUUGAAUGACUCAAUGUUAUGUUUAUGAAAACAGCACAAUCAAGCAAUCAAACUACUGUCAGCAACAUCGUUGGAGGAUCUAACAACAAUAAAGAAACUGUUAAGAGAAAGAGAUCUACAAGCAUAGAUGUCACUGAACAUACACCAUCUUCUUAUUCCAGUAAGAAAAAAUGUUCCAAACCAGGUGUUCUAGCUGAUAUUACCAACACCUUGCCUUCAAUGCUUGGCACACCUUCUACAAGUGGUUCAUGUAUCUCCAAGAUAUCUACUAAGGGUAUAUAGUGUAAAUCUGAAAUUUUGAUUUUGAUUUGAUUUCUCAGAGUUUGUUCUUUUUUCCUAACGUCUGUUGGCUCAAUCACAUAAAGGGAAAGAUAAGGUUGUUGCUGAAGAUAACAAGUUAAAGAGUAAUACUAGAACCAAGAAGUGUAGAAAAACAUUGGAACAACAAUUUGAUGGUUGUGUAGAUGAUUAUUCGUCAUGUGAGGAUGAUGAGGACCAAGCAUUCCAAUGUGACUAUGAAGGUAUAAACGUUUUAAUGGUACCCCUAAGUUCCACUGAUUAUAUAUUUAUAAAAAUGUGGAUAUAAACCAAUUAUAUUAAAACAACUUUUUUUGUCUACAGAAGAAUCUGAAUUAUACAAAGAACAAGUUUAUGAUUGCAGUAGCGAAGAAAGUGACACAAGUGACAAUGAAACCAUAAACUGCAACCCUAUAUCUAAAGAUUCAAAUGCCAAUCAAAGAUCACCUGAUGUCUUAUCAAAAGAAGGGAAUCAAGAAAUUAAUACACAGCGUACUUCUUCCUGUGCCAAGAUGGUGAAGAGAACUUCUUCGUCUGCCCAGAUGAUGAAACCUACUUCUUCUAGAAAAUCUCGUGGUAAUCAGUUAUUUUUAUCAAGACAGUCAAAUUAUUCAUUUACCUUUUCGUUACAUUCAGCUCGUGAUUUUAUUCUUUUAAAUACAGGUUACAUUGAUGACGGUGAUCCAACUUACAAAUGUGAACAUUGUGGGGCUAUAAUGUGGUAUGGUGAAAGGAUCAACAACAAAAAACAUACACGCAAACCUAAAUUUGCUCUUUGUUGUGGUCAAGGACAAGUCCAGCUUCCGUUGUUAAAGGAUUCACCAGCUAUAUUGAAACAAUUACUCCAUGGCAGUGAUGAACAGAGUAGAUAUUUUCGUGACAAUAUCCGAGCUAUAAAUAUGGUUUUCUCAUUUACAUCCCUUGGGGGAAAAUUCGAUCACUCAGCUCCAAAAGGCUCUGGCCCAAAAAUGAUUGUACUUCAAGGAGAAAACUAUCAUUUAAUGGGUAGUUUGAAGCCUCCAGCAGGAGACCCUGCUAAGUUUGGGCAACUAUAUAUUGUAGACACAGAAAAUGAAGUUACCAACCGUGCUUCUAUAAUUGGGUAUUCUGGUUUCCCCUAAUUUAUAUAUAUUUGGAAUUCAUAUGAUUGUGUGUAUAUUAAGAACUGUGCUUUUGUUUUUGCAGAAAGUACAAAAAAUCCGCAGAAAAAGCUAAAAAGGAGUCGAUUCGGAAUCAAGUUAUCCAGUCUUUAAUGACAAUGCUUAACGAGGUCAAUCCAUAUGUCCAUCAGUUUAGAUCAGCAAAGGAUAGAUUUGAGACUAAUCCCCAAGAAACAUUCCAUAUGCGCAUUAUUAGCAGUCGUGCAAAAGAUGGAAGGACGUAUGACACUCCUACAGCAUCUGAGGUUGCUGCAUUAAUUCCAGGAGAUUUCAAUUUGGACAUGGAUAAAAGAGAUAUUGUUUUGCAAGAGAAACAAACUGGCUGGCUAAAGCGGAUAAGUGAGAUUCACCCUUCUUACUUGGCACUUCAAUAUCCUCUGAUAUUUACUUAUGGUGAAGAUGGGUUCAGACUUGGGAUUAAAAAAAAAGAGACAGAGGCUACAGCUAAACUAAAGAGGCAGACUAUUAGUAUGAGGCAGUGGUAUGCAUUCCGUCUACAGGAAAGAGAGAAUGAGUGUCAUACACUACUGCAUUCAAAGCGAUUGUUUCAGCAAUUUUUGGUCGAUUCUUAUACUUCCAUAGAGUCUAACAGGCUGUGUUAUCUACGGAUGAACCAAAAAAGCCUUAGAUCGGAUAGCUAUGACUCUAUACAACAAUCACGAAACGCAGGAAAAGAAGAUAUGCAUGACCAAGGAAGUCGAUUUUUGCUACCAGCCUCAUUCACAGGAGGACCAAGAUACAUGAAGAACAACUAUCUUGAUGCAAUGGCUAUAUGCAAAUAUUUUGGGUUUCCUGAUUUGUUUAUAACAUUCACCUGCAAUCCGAAAUGGCCAGAAAUCACCAGAUAUCUACAACAACGCUGCCUCACUGCUGAUGAUAGACCCGAUAUUAUUGGAAGGAUUUUCAAAAUCAAGCUUGAUUCUCUGAUGAUUGAUUUAACAGACAAAGAGCUUCUAGGGAAGACCGUCUCUUGUGAGUUAUUAUGUGUUUAGUUGUUCUUUUAUCUAUUAACGUUUUCUUAAACUGUAACUAAUUUAUCUCUUCCAUUUCUCAAUUUCAGCAAUGUACACUGUGGAGUGGCAGAAACGUGGCCUACCUCAUGCUCAUAUUCUCUUAUUCAUGCAUCCUAAUUCCAAAUUUCCAACCACUGAUGACAUUGACAAGGUUAUCUCUGCUGAAAUUCCAGAUAAAGACAAAGAGCCAGAGCUUUAUGAUAUUAUCAAAGAUAUGAUGAUUCAUGGUCCUUGUGGAGCUGUAAACAUGAAAUCACCAUGCAUGGAAAAUGGUUUGUGUUCUAAACUGUAUCCUAAGGCUUAUGCAGAUGUAACUACUGUCAACAAAGAAGGGUUUCCUGUUUAUAGAAGACGAGAACAGACAAAUAGAUUUGUUGAGAAAAACGGCUUCAAGUGUGACAACAGAUAUGUGAUACCAUACAACAAGGAAUUGUCUCUUCGUUUUCGAGCUCACAUCAAUGUGGAAUGGUGCAAUCAAUCAGGUUCUAUAAAAUACUUAUUCAAGUAUAUUAACAAAGGCCAGGAUCGUGCCACUAUUGUUGUUGAGCCCCCUGAUAAAGAAGCACCAGACCAGAACACUUCAAGAAAUGGAGAGUUGAACGAAAAGAAAAAAAAAUGAAAUCAAGGACUUCUUCAACUGCAGGUAUUUUUUUCUACAGAAAUAAGGUCUAUUGUCGAUUUUGAAAAACUAAUGCGUCAUUUCCUUUGAAUGAAACUGGUGUUGAUAUUGAUCCUUAUCUCUGUGUUAUCUGCCAUUUUUUCAGAUAUGUCUCAGCCUGUGAAGGUGGUUGGAGGAUUUUUACGUUUCCUAUUCACUAUAGAUCAACACCCGUUGAGAGAUUGCAGUUUCAUCUACCAGGAAAACAAAUCAUUAUCUUCAAAGAUGAUGACACAUAUGAAAAAGUUACCAGCAGGAAGCUUAUUGAAAACACUAUGUUUUUGGGCUGGUUUGAAUUGAACAAGGUCAGUGCAGUAGCUCGGGCUCUGACUUUAGCUGAAAUUCCAACAAGGUUUUGUUGGAAUAAGAAAGAAAAAAAGUUUCAUGAUAGGAAGAAAGGAUUCAGUAUUGGGAGAAUCAACUAUGCCCCACGUGACAUUGAAGAAGCGUUCUACAUGCGUGUAUUGCUUAACAUUGUGAGAGGUCCAACGUGUUUUGAAGACAUUAAAACGUUUCAAGAGGUUCUUCAUCCUUCAUACAAGGAGACAUGUUUUGCAAGGGGACUGUUAGAAGAUGAUCAGGAAUAUAUACACGAUCUCGUGAGAGCAAGUUUCACUGGUUCUGCAUGUUAUAUACGUCAAGCUUUUGUUAUCAUGCUCAUGUCUAAUACUUUGUCAAAACCAGAAGUCGUUUGGGAACAGACUUGGGAGUUCCUUUCUGAAGACAUUGAGCAUACGAGAAGGAAGCUAUUACAUAGACCAGGUACAAUACUGGUUCCUCAAUUUGCUUAAUAUUUUAUAUUUUCUCUCAAGAUAUUUAGGGAAUAUAGUAUGAAUUGUUAGUAGCUGAUUUUUUUUUGGUUUUAUGAAGAUCUUUGCUUGAGUGAUGCGGAAAAAAAACAAUAUGCGCUUACAGAGAUUGAGAAGCUUCUAAAGAGUAAUGGAACUUCUUUGGAGAAGUUCAAAAAUAUGCCUAAACCACUACCAGAUAUAGUUAAUAAUAACGUUUUGAUCAUGGAUGAGCUCAGUUACGACCGGCAGGAAUUAGAAGCUGAUCUUCAGCGUGACACUCCAAAACUUACGGAUGAGCAAAAGAAGAUUUUUGAUGAAAUUACUGAUGCUGUUAUAACGAAAAAAGGAGGCGUCUUUUUUGUCUAUGGAUUUGGUGGUACAGGCAAAACUUUCUUAUGGAGAUUGCUUUCUGCAGCAGUACGUGUCAGGGGCGAAGUAUGUCUGAAUGUUGCCUCAAGUGGUAUAGCUUCCCUAUUGCUACAGGGAGGAAGGACUGCACAUUCUCGAUUUGGAAUUCCUAUAAAUCCAGAUGAAUUCUCCACUUGCACACUUACAAAAGGAACUGAUAAAGCAGAGCUGGUGAAAGCAGCGUCCCUUAUAAUUUGGGAUGAAGCUCCAAUGAUGAGUAAACACUGUUUUGAAUCAUUGGAUAGGAGUAUGUUGGACAUUGUUGGAGACAAUGAUAAGAGACCUUUUGGUGGCAAAGUUGUCGUAUUUGGUGGAGACUUUAGACAAGUAUUGCCUGUCAUUCAUGGAGCUGGAAGGGCUGAGAUUGUUAUGGCUGCUCUUAAUUCAUCUUAUCUUUGGAAGCAGGUAAAAGUUUUGCAAUUAACCAAGAAUAUGCGGCUGCUGUCAAAUAAUCUAUCUACCGAAGAGGCAAAAGAAUUGCAAGAUUUUUCACAAUGGAUAUUAGACAUUGGAGAUGGAAAGAUUGGUGAUGGAAAUGAUGGGGAAGCUCUUAUCGACAUUCCAGAAGAGUUCUUAAUUCUUGAUGCUGAUGAUCCAGUAGAAGCUAUAAGCGCAGCAGUGUAUGGAGAUGCUACUUCUUUACAGCAGAAGGACCCAAAGUUUUUUCAAGAGAGAGCUAUACUUUGUCCUACUAACGAGGAUGUGAACAUGAUUAAUCAACAUAUGCUGGAUAAGCUUGAUGGUUAGUUACGAUUCCUUAAACUUUACAUGAAUUAUUUUGUUAGAUGUUUGGUUUUUGGUCACUAGAGUAACACUUUACUGUUUUAAUGCAGGAGAGGAAAGAAUAUACUUAAGCUCUGAUUCUAUCGACGCUUCUGAUAAGUUUUCUGUUAAUGACCAAGCUCUCACUCCAGAUUUCUUAAACAGAAUUAAAGCAUCAGGAUUGCCAAAUCAUAGUCUGCGACUGAAAGUUGGUUGUCCAGUGAUGUUGCUAAGAAACAUAGAUCCUACUGGGGGAUUGAUGAAUGGAACGCGACUUCAGAUUACAGAAAUGUAUGACUUCAUGAUAAAGGCCAAAGUUAUUACAGGGGAAAAGGUUGGUCGAACUGUGUUAAUUCCUAGGCUUUCAAUAACUCCUUCAGAUAAAAAGAUGCCAUUCAAGAUGAGGAGGAGACAACUGCCUAUUGGUGUGGCAUUUGCUAUUACCAUCAACAAAAGUCAAGGCCAAACUUUGUCUGAAGUUGGUAUUUAUCUACCAAGGCCUGUUUUCUCUCAUGGACAACUAUAUGUGGCUGUUUCCAGAGUCACUUCUAAGAAAGGCUUGAAGAUAUUGAUUGUUGACAGCGAAGGCAAACCUCAACGUCAAACAAAAAAUGUGGUCUUUAGAGAGAUUUUUGACAAUUUAUGAUUUCAGACAAUUUGUUUUGUUUUUUAUAACUUUGUUGGAACGUGGAUUUAUAUACGGUUUAUGGUUCUAUGUUUAGCUACUGUUUUAUAUUAAUAAGUCUCUCUUAUAAUAUUAUUGAAACUUUUGGAAAAGUUCGAUACAUGAAGAGAUUAAAAUAUUUUUGCUUUGUGAUGAGGAAAGAUGAUUCUUGAUGAGGUUCUAGAAAUCCCCAGGAACAAACAAAGAAUGUUUCAAGCUAUAUGUGUUGUAUAAGACAACAUCUACAAGAGAAUUUGAACUUUACUAAAAGUUCUUAAGGAAUACGGUAAUCAAUAUAUUUUCCACUAUUUCACAUAAUAACAAACAAAUCAAUCAAACUCCGGUUCCCAUCCUAACUACCGAUAAUCACAUCCAAUCCUAAAUUCUAGAACAUUAUAAAUGAGGAAUAUUAACUUACUGAUUAAAUGCACUGAAGAAAGUUGUGUUAAUAGUCGCUGUCAUCAAUUUGCUUCUUAAUUUCCAUUUGGAUGUACCAUGUACUACGCAUAUUGUCCUGCCAAAAGAACACAGUAUAACAGUAAGUUACUAUAUAUUUAAAUUCUGGUAUAGUAUAAAAAGAUACUUAUCUUUUUGGGUGGUAGUAUUAGUUCAUGUUCAAUCCCUUCCUAUCUGCAAGCCGAAUCACACUAUCAAAAUUCCUUACUCAUUCAACCACCUAGAAACUGCAACUAAAGCAAAUCACUUAAUAUUGAGUUACUUAUUGUCUAAUACAAAGCAAUCUUAUACUAUUAAGAAAUUUUAGAUAAGGGGUUUAUAAGAAUUAUCAGGCUUUUUUAUCUUCUUAGCAUUAUUAACCUUUCUUUGUAAGACGCAAGUGUAAUGCUACACUUUUUAUAAACUUAUUUCUUCAGCUAUUUGUAUCACCACGGAGCAGCACCACCAUUACAUCUGAACUUAGAUUACAUGUCUGAUUUAACUGCAAAAAACAACAACAAAACAUGGCGAUGGUAACCAUAUAUUAUCCUAAAUGACUUUCUAAAAUUUAGUCAAAAGCUUCUGUGAAAUCAGAGAGUUUAUCAAAUAUUAUAUGAAAAGCUUUGAUAAUGGUUACCUUUGUUCGAUUCUUCAGAUGUGUUAAAGUCCCCAACAUUUGAUACGGUUGAUAUUUUUCUGUGACAUAAUUUCAGAUCUAAGAAACUUUUCAUCUGUGAAAACUAAGCCUUUUACAUAAGGAUCUGUGACAAAAAAAAAAACAAAACUUCAACUCUUCGUAAGAGAAAUCAAAACAAACUAAUUACUAAUCAAUACCAUUCGAUUUCUUAUUUCUGAAGUUGUCUUUCUCAAAUAUAUGUUGUAUAACUUUGAAUAGCACCAUCGAUUUCAAUCUUCAUCUCAUCGAUUGUUCGUCGGCCAAGAAGAGACGACCGUUUCUAGAUCUCUCCUUUUUUUUCCCCUUUCCUUUUCUAUUUUUUUUUUGAACUUGGAAAUUAAUAAACGUUACUUUUGAUAAGUGGCCGAAUAGUCAAUGGUUAGAUUUAAAAGGCCCAAUUCGUUUAAAAUGAACUUAAUUAAAAAUUUAAGAGGCCCAAUUCGUUUAAAUGGUUAGAAUAAUAACAAACUAAACUUAAUUAAAAAUUAAUUUUAUCUAUAUUAUUUCGUUAGUUCAAUAAUUAUUUCAUUAAUUCAAGAAAGUAUAUAUUUAAAAUUAGAAUGUAAUAAAUAUCCACUAAUUUUAAAAAUUCAUAAAAUUAAAAUUUGUGUAAUUAAUUAUAAAAUUAAUUAUAGAAGACUUAUUAAUUUUGAUGUAAUAGCAUUAUUUUAGUUUCACCAACAACGCAUAUAAAAAACACAUUAUAAAAUAAUUUAUAAAAUGUAUAUAUGUAAUUUUUUUUAAAUGGACAAUCCCGCGCUUUGAAAGCGCGGAUCAAAAUCUAGUUUGACUAUUAAAGUUAAUGUCCACAUGUUAGCAAAAAAAAAAAAAAAAAUUAAUGGCCACAAAAGACAACAAUACACAAGACAAUAAACAAUGCUUACACAGAUGAGAGAGCCGUUAACACAAAACCUAGAAUAAUCCAACCCAAUCGAAUGAAAGUGAUAACGGUCUUUCCAAUUCUGAAAUCUCAAGAAAUUAAGAAGAGCUUACAAUGUGUUUGAAUUGAUGGGUAUCCAUAUUUGUUCAGAGACAGUCCGUGUAAUGCUUCACUCUACAACCACAUUAAUAAGAAAGUUAUGAUUCUCUCCGGUGACGGAGUUGUCAAUUCGGUGAGGAAGACACCGAAUAUAGUGAUAUGAUUGAGACAAAAAAAAAGAAAACAAAAAAAAAAGAAAUCUGGAGAGAGGUAACGAGAGUGAGCUGUCUCUUUAAAGGGUAUUUUGGUUAUUGAAUAAGAAGAGUAUGUGUGUCAAGUGAGAAAUGCGUUAUUGUAUAUUACAAAGUCAGAAAAAACUCUCCGACGAAAGGUAAACGCUUCUUCGACUUUUCUCUCCGCUCAUACUCACAAUAUCAUCUAUUUCUCAUUUUGAUUGAAGUUUAAUUGCAGAUAAUUUAUCAAUUGAACUGAAGAAACCAAGUGUUUGUAUUGGAGAUAACAGAGUCCUUGUCCACGUUUUAUGGUAUAAUUUUAGUAACAUGAGUUCAUGUCCACGUAUUGUUGUAUAGUUUUAUGGAAUCAAAACAGAGAGUUUGUCCACGUUAUCUACUAUAAACACAUUAACAUCACUCAUCCACACAUCACCC